CAUAGCUGGGUGCAUGAGUCUGAGUAGUAGAAGCAGCUCUCUUUGCAGGAGAUUGGAAGCCAAUAUCUGUGUGUUGGAAAUAAGUGCUGUCGGGCAGUGCUCCUCACAGCCACGUACAAGUGGGAAAUCUUCUAAGCCUUGGCCUGGAUGGAAGUAAUAUGGAUGAUUGGCAGCUCUGCUCUUGAACCAACAAACUGAAGUCUGCUCUCAGAAUAUGACUGGAACAUACAGAAUCUUCACUGACAAACUGGGAUCAGCUUUCUCUAUCAUAUUCUAGCAAAUGUUGUGUACGUGGGGGUGAGGGGCUGGGUGGGGAACUGCAGGUAUUGAUAGCAUUGCUAACUCAUGUUUGAAGAAAAAGUUGGAGAAAAACUAAACAAACCCUAUUUAACUGGCUCUGAGGGUACCAUAGCAAUCUGUAGGCAAAGGCAAAGUUCAGAUUGUGAGAAAGAAAGUUCAGUAUCUGGAAGACAGGAUAGACAUGUUUAGUUGAGAAUUUACAACUCUGUUCCUUGAGAAUUUUUCUGCAGUCGAGGACAGCUCACAGCAGUGACAUGGCUUUUUGUUGUUUUGUUGUAUUUAUUAUUAUUAUUAUUAUUAUUAUUUAGAAUGGAGGAGUUAGUUGCACAGUUAUACUCCUCAUAAAUGGAAAAUGUUCUGAAGGAGCCGAUGGACACUGGAUAAAAAUGUUUUCCUGGAAAGGAACGCCAACUUCAUUCUGUAGAGCACUUUUCAUAUUAUUGUUGCCAAUGCCACAAGAAACAUGGAUUAUGAAAAUGCUAAUCUUCUCAGAAGAUCCACUAUACCGAUCAGCCUAAUGCUUGUUCCAUGGCAAAAGGUCCCAGAAUAUGGGAACGUGUUACAAGGCAACUUGAAUGCCAGCUUGCUUCCUUCCUCCUUCAGAAGGCAUUGGUUCCAAACAAUUAACAAAGUGUCCCAGCAGACCUUGAAAUAUGAGACAACCUGGGUUCACUGCAACUCUCUAAGUCUAGCAUGAUCAGUCUCAUUACAAUGAGGAAAAAAAAUUAUCCAGCUACUGCUUGACUUGGAUGACACGUGGAGCUCAUUGAUUGACUGAUCACUGCCUUUUGAAAUAUAGGCUAUCCAUCAACUUCUCUCCAUAUGCACCCAGACAGCCAUCUGUCAGGAAGGCUGAUGUCAGCAAAUUAAAGAUGGUGUAAUCACCACCUGCCAAAUGUAGCUGCAGUUUUAAAUUAUAUAGCACAGCUUUUAGGAUGGUAUUACUAAGGAACUGUGCAAAAAGUCUUGCCCCACCUGAUUAUACACUUGUGCCUUAGAUGCUAAAACAAGUUUAAUACCAAUAAAGAAGAAAGCAUGUCUUUUUCUAA